rnacentral:lncRNA from 1 species
GCUCCAUUUGCGGUUAUACAACUUCUCUCCAACAAACAUUCCAAGGUUUUUUUGGAAUGUGUCUACUCUCCUUCCUGCACCUGCUCUUCUUAGCCAGCACCACAAAACUAGGUUCCUACCACAUUAAAACUUAUACUUGUGUUGCUGUGUAAGUCUGCUUUUAUGGACUACUAUCGGGGCACAAAGAUUGAAGAACCAUGGCCAGACUUAUGUGAAAGACUGACUUCAGUUAUGAGCGACAUCAGUUCUACCACUAUUAGAGGACCACCUAAGAGAAGAGACAUCCCUAUUCUGCUUGGGAAUGGGCACAUAGCCUGGAGAUCUGGAAGCUGUUAUUGGCUUCUGAGGAGUUAGCUGGGAUCUUAUAAAAGCACUGAGCCCUUCAAAGACCUGCUGUUUUCUUACCAAUAAGAUCACCUAAAAAUAAUAAUUAAUUUUUAGCUCUUGGCCUCUGUUAUUCAAAAAUUAUCUUUCUCCCUGUCCACUAAAAACCUUAUGGCAAGUGGAACAGCUUGUCAGUCAGAAGACUAUUCAUUCUCUAAUCACUUAAUCACUGGAUGUUGGCCAGAGGGUCUUGAGACCCCCCUGCUCCCACUGGUAUUAGAGCUAGAAGAUCAGGUACCAUCUCCUGUCUAGGUACAUCUCUUUGGUACUGGGCCUGGGGAGAGGAAAUGGGAAAAGUGACCUCUUUACUGCACAUGCAAUAAACAAAAAAAUUUAGGAGGGAAAUGGUAGCAUCUGUUUCAAUAAGCAAAACAAGACAAUUUAAAAGGAAAAAAAAAAAGAAAAAGGCUCAAAAGAAUUAAAAGUACUAUCAGAUGAGACUAGUCCAAGAUACUGCUGGGAUCCAUGUACACACACACAGACCCUUACACUGAAUUCUGAGAGGUUACUUGAGAUUAACUGUCAUUUCAAAACCAAUAAAGUUGUCCAUGCAAAUCCACAUUUAAUAUCGUACUGAGAUGCAUUUAAAACCCAUUAGAAAGAUAAUAUUCAUAUGCUUCAAAGAAAGGACAUGAAAAGAGUCGAUUUUAAGAGAAAUGAAUCUUUACCAGUUUUACUGGAACCUUGCCUAAGGAAGGACAGAAAAAUCAUUUCACCAUCUUUGUCAGUGCUGGCAAAUGGAGCCAAGGGACCAAACUGUUUUGGCAACCAGGUCUUGGCAAAGAGGCUCUGUUUCAGUCCAGUACCUCUACUCCUCCCUUUCUAGUCUGAAUUUCUCUUGUUUUUACUGUGAGUUAUGUUCAGUUCCCUCUCAAUUCCCUCUGUGAGGCAACAAGUGGUGCUGGAGGCUGUAAUCAGUCCAUAAUAGUUUCUAUCAGCUGCUUCUCGCUCCUUACUCUAUUUCACCUCCACUACUCCGUGCACCUUACUUAAAAAACAGUGUUGAGGUCACAACAGUUUGAAUAAAUAUCCAUUACAAACUCCA